GAUGAACGCUGGCGGCGUGCUUAACACAUGCAAGUCGAACGGUGAAGGCGGAGCUUGCUCUGCUGGAUCAGUGGCGAACGGGUGAGUAACACGUGAGCAAUCUGCCCCUGACUCUGGGAUAAGCGCUGGAAACGGCGUCUAAUACUGGAUACGAGCUGCGAAGGCAUCUUCAGCAGCUGGAAAGAAUUUCGGUCAGGGAUGAGCUCGCGGCCUAUCAGCUUGUUGGUGAGGUAAUGGCUCACCAAGGCGUCGACGGGUAGCCGGCCUGAGAGGGUGACCGGCCACACUGGGACUGAGACACGGCCCAGACUCCUACGGGAGGCAGCAGUGGGGAAUAUUGCACAAUGGGCGAAAGCCUGAUGCAGCAACGCCGCGUGAGGGACGACGGCCUUCGGGUUGUAAACCUCUUUUAGCAGGGAAGAAGCGAAAGUGACGGUACCUUCAGAAAAAGCGCCGGCUAACUACGUG
rnacentral:rRNA from 1 species